rnacentral:rRNA from 1 species
UACGUAGGGGGCAAGCGUUGUCCGGAAUCAUUGGGCGUAAAGCGCGUGUAGGCGGCUCGAUAAGUCUGAUGUGAAAGCCCUGGGCUCAACCUGGGAAUGGCAUUGGAAACUGGCGACCUAGAGUGCGGUAGAGGGCAGUGGAAUUCCCGGUGUAGCAGUGAAAUGCGUAGAGAUCGGGAGGAACAUCUGUGGCGAAGGCGACUGCCUGGACCAGCACUGACACUGAGGCACGAAAGCGUGGGGAGCAAACAGG